UUUGUGAACGUGAGAGCAAGAACAGAGACUGAGAGAGACAGAGAAGCACGAUGGCUGCAUUCACAUGGAUUCAAAUGUCUUCAUUACUGAUACUGAUGCUUCAGUUUAAAGGAACAACUGAGCAAAAUCAAACUGAUCAAACUGUCACAGCUGGACGUGGACAUGAUGUUACUCUGCCUUGUAAAAAUGUGAUACAAGGUCAGCAUAACUGUAGCAGUACUACCUGGAUCUUCAGUGAUUCAAGCAGCUCAGUAUCACUCUUUGAACUUGGGCAGAAUAAAGCAGCCAAACCUAAAUCAGACAGACUGAGUGUUUCUGCAGACUGUUCUCUGGUUACACACUCAGAAAUUAAAGUACAGAAAUGUACCUAUAGGGGUACAAUGGCUUGUCACUGGGGUGGUACCCUCUAAGGUACCGUUCUGUACCCUAAACUGUGGGUACUGAUUUGUACCCUUGUAAUUUGUACUUUUUACACGUCAAACCUGUACUUUAAAGGACAAAGUUGUACCCUUAGUAUAAAGUACAAAAAAGAACCCUUAAAAGGAGUACAAAAAUGUCUUUCUAAAGGUUCAGUAUCUACACACAGAUUUCCUAUAUUUUUCCUCUCAAGAUUUGAAAAAUUGAAGAUACAAAGUCAAAAAUACUUGUCACAUUUAUUACCUUCUUAAAUACAGACUGUUAUCAACAGAGUAUGUGUCAUAAGCUGCAACAUCAAUUUCCUGUCCAGGUUUUAGCAACGUCCAUUCACUAUCAACUCUAACACUGUAUGAAUGAAAAUGGUUGUCAUAUAACAGAGGAAUGAGAAUUUUUCCACAAAAGACCCACAUUGUGUCAAUAUUAAAUAUGUACUUAAUUUGCCAGAACAGAGGAAUCUUCUCUGAAUGCAGUACAUCAAUGACAAACACAUCUCUUACACAGUAUUUGACACUGUUCACAAUUACUUCUGACACACGCUGGAAAGCUUUCUUAGGUCUUAGCACUAUCAACUUCAGAAAAGCCACAAUAGACUGUCAGUGCUUGUUGCAGUUCCAGUGGUAAUGACAAAAAUGGUGUAGUCACACUUUUUCCAAAAACAUUUUCAAAUUCACCAAGUAAACUUUUGUUAGAAAACUCCCAGCACUGUCUGAACUGAUGUCUGUUGCUCAAAGUUGUAGCAAUGUUCAUAAAAUUUCUACAAUUGCGGGACAACAUUUUGAAAUACUGGUGCUUACUUUCAAAUCUCAUACACCAUAACAAACGUAGAGGGCCGAACAUUUCAA